UACGGGGGGGGCACGCGUUGUUCGGAAUUACUGGGCAUAAAGGGCUCGUAGGCGGCCAACUAAGUCAGACGUGAAAUCCCUCGGCUUAACCGGGGAACUGCGUCUGAUACUGGAUGGCUUGAGUUUGGGAGAGGGAUGCGGAAUUCCAGGUGUAGCGGUGAAAUGCGUAGAUAUCUGGAGGAACACCGGUGGCGAAGGCGGCAUCCUGGACCAACACUGACGCUGAGGAGCGAAAGCCAGGGGAGCAAACGGG
rnacentral:rRNA from 1 species